rnacentral:rRNA from 1 species
CACGUAGGGCGCAAGCGUUGUCCGGAAUUAUUGGGCGCAAAGAGCUCGUAGGCGGUCUGUUGCGUCCGCUGUGAAAACCCAGGGCUUAACCCUGGGCUGGCAGUGGAUACGGACAGACUAGAGGUAGGUAGGGGAGAAUGGAAUUCCCGGUGUAGCGGUGAAAUGCGCAGAUAUCGGGAGGAACACCGGUGGCGAAGGCGGUUCUCUGGGCCUUACCUGACGCUGAGGAGCGAAAGCGUGGGGAGCGAACAGG